rnacentral:misc_RNA from 1 species
UCUCCGUAGGUGAACCUGCGGAGGGAUCACUACGGGCUUGCAAAAGCUCUGAAACCACUGUUUAUCUACCUGAAUCUGCUUCGGCGGGCGGCCCCAGGGCGGGGCCGUAGCCGCAAGGCGCCCGCCGAAGACCCCUAAACUCUGUCGUCUUGAGAAUCUCUGAGUAUCAUAUUAAACAGAAAACAACUUUCAACAACGGAUCUCUUGGCUCUG